CCUGCCCAGACCCCUGUACCCCCACAACUGCCUUGGCUUCCUGCUCUGUCUCAGGGGAUGACCGCAGCCUGUCCAGCUCAUCCUCAGAGGCUGAGUUCUGGAAGGCAGGGGCUCUGGGUCUGGCAGGUCAGGGUCACCAGAGCCCCAAGGCCCAGCUGCUUCACUCUGUGUCCCCCACCCCUGAUGUGGUGUGUCCUGGAGACCACAGUGUGGGGUCUGCAGUAGUCCCUCAGGCUCAGGCACGGAGCUCCUCAGGUCCCGGUGAGGGCGGACCUCAGGAGGAGGCUGGCUCAGCCCAGGGCCCUUGCCCUGCCUGUCUCCCCAACAUGGGGCCAAGUUCCAGGCUUGUCUCAGUCGUCACCCCUGCACAUC
rnacentral:lncRNA from 1 species